rnacentral:lncRNA from 1 species
GAUAACAAGAAUUUUUGUUGAUAGAUGAGUAUUUUUUUAAAUUUUUUGAUCAAUAGUUGUAUUUUGUAAAUAUAAUUCCCAAAAAUUCUAUUUUAGGAAAGUUUUCAUUUUUUCAUAGAAAUAUUGUAGAUUUGGGGUUGUGGUUUAGAAAUUAGGAUAACAAGAAUUUUUUUGAUAGAUGAGUAUUUUUUUAGAUUUUUUGAUCAAUAGUUGUAUUUUUUAAAUAUAAUUCCCAAAAAUUCUAUUUUAGGAAAGUUUUCAUUUUUUCAUAAAAAUAUUGUAGAUUUGGGGUUGUGGUUUAGAAAUUAGGAUAACAAGAAUUUUUGUUGAUAUAUGAGUAUUCUUUUAGAUUUUUUGAUCAAUAGCUGUAUUUUUUAAAAAUAAUUCUCAAAAUUCUAUUUUAGGAAAGUUUUUUUUUUUUAUAGAAAUAUUGUAGAUUUGGGGUUGUUGUUUAGAAAUUAGGAUAACAAGAAUUGUUUUUGAUAGAUGAGUAUUUUUUUUAUAUUUUUUGAUCAAUAGGUUGUAUAUUUUAAAUAUGAUUCUCAGAAAUUCUAUUUUUGGAAAGUUUUCAUUUUUUCAUAGAAAUAUUGUAGAUUAGGGGUUGUGGUUUAGAAAUUAGGAUAACAAGAAUUUUUGUUGAUAGAUGAGUAUUUUUUUUUUAAAUUUUUGAUCAAUAAGUUACAUUUUUAAAAAAUAAUUCUUAAAAGUUCUAUUUUAGGAAAGUUUUCAUUUUUUUAUAGAAAUAUUGUAGAUUUUGGGUUGUAAUUUAGAAAUUAGGAUAAUAAUAAUUUUUGUUCAUAGGUGAGUAUUCUUUUAAAUUUUUUGAUCAAUAGUUGUAUUUAGUAAAUAUAAUUCUCAAAAAUUCUAUUUUAGGAAAGUUUUCAUUUUUUCAUAGAAAUAUUGUAGAUUUGGGGUUGUGGUUUAGAAAUUAGGAUAACAAGAAUUUUUGUUGAUAGAUGAGUAUUCUUUUAGAUUUUUUGAUCAAUAGUUGUAUUUUUAAAAAUAUAAUUCUCAAAAAUUCUAUUUUAGGAAAGUUUUCAUUUUUCAUAGAAAUAUUGUAGAUUUGGGGUUGUGGUUUAGAAAUUAGGAUAACAAGAUUUUUUGUGUGAUAGAUGAGUAUUUUUUUUAAUUUUUUGAUCAAUAAGUUACAUUUAAAAAAAUUAAUUCUCAAAAAUUCUAUUUUAGGAAAGUUUUCAUUUUUUAUAGAAAUAUUGUAGAUUUGGGGUUGUGAUUUAGAAAUUAGGAUAAUAAUAAUUUUUGUUGAUAGGUGAGUAUUCUUUUAGAUUUUUUGAUCAAUAGUUGUAUUUUUUAAAUAUAAUUCUCAAAAAUUCUAUUUUAGGAAAGUUUUCAUUUUUUUUAUAGAAAUAUUGUAGAUUUAGGGUUGUGGUUUAAAAAUUAGGAUAACAAGAAUUUUUGUUGAUAGAUGAGUAUUCUUUUAGAUUUUUUGAUCAAUUGUUGUAUUUUUUAAAUAUAAUUCUCAAAAAUUUUAUUUUAGGAAAGUUUUCAUUUUUACUUAAAAAUAUUGUAGAUUUGGAGUUGUGGUUUAGUAAUUAGGAUAACAAGAAUUUUUGUUGAUAGAUGAGUAUUCUUUUAGAUUUUUUAAUCAAUAGUUGUAUUUUUUAAAUAUAAUUCCCAAAAAUUCUAUUUUAGGAAAGUUUUAAUUUUUUCAUAUAAAUAUUGUAGAUUUGGGGUUGUGGUUUAGAAAUUAGGAUAACCAGAAUUUUUGUUGAUAGAUGAGAAUUUUUUAGAUUUUUUUGAUCAAUAGUUGUAUUUUUUAAAUAUAAUUCCCAAAAAUUCUAUUUUAGGAAAGUUUUCAAUUUUUCAUAGAAAUAUUGUAGAUUUGGGGUUGUGGUUUAGAAAUUAGGAUAACAAGAAUUUAUGUUGAUAGAUGAGUAUUUUUUUUAAUUAUUUGAUCAAUAAGUUGUAUUUUUUAAAAAUAAUUCUCAAAAAUUCUAUUUUAGGAAAGUUUUCAUUUUUACUUAAAAAUAUUGUAGAUUUGGAGUUGUGGUUUAGUAAUUACGAUAACAAGAAUUUUUGUUGAUAGAUGAGUAUUCUUUUAGAUUUUUUGAUCAAUAGUUGUAUUUUAAAUAUACUUCUCAAAAAUUCUAUUUUAGGAAAGUUCUAAUUUUUUAUAGAAAUAUUGUAGAUUUGGGGUUUGUGGUUUAGAAAUUAGGAUAACAAGAAUUUUUGUUGAUAGAUGAGUAUUCUUUUAGAUUUUUUGAUCAAUAGUUGUAUUUUUUAAAUAUAAUUCUCAAAAAUUCUAUUUUAGGAAAGUUUUCAUUUUUUCAUAGAAAUAUUGUAGAUUUGGGGUUGUGGUUUAGAAAUUAGGAUAACAAAAAUUUUUGUUGAUAGAUGAGUAUUUUUUUAGAUUUUUUAUCAAUAGUUGUAUUUUUUAAUAAAUUCUGAAAAUUUCUUUAGGAAAGUUUUCAUUUUUUUUAUAGAAAUAUUGUAGAUUUGGGGUUGUGAUUUAGAAAUUAGGAUAACAAGAAUUUUUGUUGAUAGAUGAGUAUUCUUUUUAAUUUUUGAUCAAUAGUUGUAUUUUUUAAAUAUAAUUCUCAAAAAUUCUAUUUAGGAAAGUUUUCAUUUUUUUCAUAGAAAUAUUGUAGAUUUGGGGUUGUGUUUAGAAAUUAGGAUAACAAGAAUUUUUGUUGAUAGAUGAGUAUUUUUAAUUUUUGAUCAAUAGUUGUAUUUUUUAAAAAUAAUUCUCAAAAAUUCUAUUUUAGGAAAGUUUUCAUUUUUACAUAAAAUAUUGUAGAUUUGGGGUUGUGGUUUGUAAUUAGGAUAACAAGAAUUUUUGUUGAUAGAUGAGUAUUCUUUAGAUUUUUUGAUCAAUAGUUGUAUUUUUUAAAAUAUUAUUCUCAAAAAUUCUAUUUUAGGAAAGUUUUCAUUUUUUCAUAAAAUAUUGUAGAUUUUGGGUUGUGGUUUAGAAAUUAGGAUAACAAGAAUUUUUGUUGAUAGAUGAAUAUUUUUUUUAAAUUUUUUAAUCAAUAGUUGUAUUUUUUAAAAUAAUUCUCAAAAAUUCUAUUUUAGGAAAUUUUCAUUUUUUAGAAAAUAUUGUAGAUUUGGGUUGUGGUUUAGAAAUUAGGAUAACAAGAAUUUUGUUGAUAGAUGAGUAUUCUUUUAGAUUUUUUGAUCAAUAGUUGUAUUUUUAAAUAUAAUUCUCAAAAAUUCUAUUUUAGGAAAGUAUUCAUUUUUACAUAGAAAUAUUGUAGAUUUGGGGUUGUGGUUUUGUAAUUAGGAUAACAAGAAUUUUUGUUGAUAGAUGAGUAUUUUUUUUAAUUAUUUGAUCAAUAAGUUGUAUUUUUUAAAAAUAAUUCUCAAAAAUUCAAUUUUAGGAAAGUUUUCAUUUUUACUUAAAAAUAUUGUAGAUUUGGAGUUGUGGUUUAGUAAUUAGGAUAACAAGAAUUUUUGUUGAUAGAUGAGUAUUCUUUUAGAUUUUUUUAAUCAAUAGUGUAUUUUUUAAAUAUAAUUCCCAAAAAUUCUAUUUUAGGAAAGUUUUAAUUUUUCAUUAAAUAUUGUAGAUUUUGGGGUUGUGGUUGUUUAGAAAUUAGGAUAACCAGAAUUUUUGUUGAUAGAUGAGUAUUUUUUUAGAUUUUUUGAUCAAUAGUUGUAUUUUUUAAAUAUAAUUCCCAAAAAUUCUAUUUUAGGAAAGUUUUCAUUUUUUCAUAGAAAUAUUGUAGAUUUGGGGUUGUGGUUUAGAAAUUAGGAUAACAAGAAUUUUUGUUGAUAGAUGAGUAUUUUUUUAAUUAUUUGAUCAAUUAGUUGUAUUUUUUAAAAAUAAUUCUCAAAAAUUCUAUUUUAGGAAAGUUUUCAUUUUUACUUAAAAAUAUUGUAGAUUUGGAGUUGUGGUUUAGAAAUUAGGAUAACAAGAAUUUUUGUUGAUACAUGAGUAUUCUUUUAUAUUUUUUGAUCAAUAGUUGUAUUUUUUAAAUAUAAUUCUCAAAAAUUCUAUUUUAGGAAAGUUUUCAUUUUUACAUAGAUAUAUUGUAGAUUUGGGGUUGUGGUUUUGUAAUUAGGAUAACAAGAAUUUUUGUUGAUAGAUGAGUAUUCUUUUAGAUUUUUUGAUCAAUAGUUGUAUUUAUUAAAUAUAAUUCUCAAAAUUCUAUUUUAUGAAAGUUUUCAUUUUUACAUAGAAAUAUUGUAGAUUUGGGGUUCUGGUUUUGUAAUUAGGAUAACAAGAAUUUUUGUUGAUAGAUGAGUAUUCUUUUAGAUUUUUUGAUCAAUAGUUGUAUUUUUUAAAUAUAAUUCUCAAAAAUUCUAUUUUAGGAAAGUUUUCAUUUUUACAUAGAAAUAUUGUAGAUUUGGGGUUGUGGUUUUGUAAUUAGGAUAAUAAUAAUUUUUGUUGAUAGAUGAGUAUUCUUUUAGAUUUUUUGAUCAAUAGCUGUAUUUUUUAAAUAUACUUCUCAAAAAUUAUAUUUUAGGAAAGUUCUAAUUUUUUAUAGAAAUAUUGUAGAUUUGGGGUUUGUGGUUUAGAAAUUAGGAUAACAAGAAUUUUUGUUGAUAGAUGAGUAUUCUUUUAGAUUUUUUGAUCAAUAGUUGUAUUUUUUAAAUAUUAUUCUCAAAAAUUCUAUUUUAGGAAAGUUUUCAUUUUUUCAUAAAAAUAUUGUAGAUUUUGGGUUGUGGUUUAGAAAUUAGGAUAACAAGAAUUUUUGUUGAUAGAUGAAUAUUUUUUUAAAUUUUUUAAUCAAUAAAUUGUAUUUUUUUAAAAUAAUUCUCAAAAAUUCUAUUUUUGAGGAAAAUUUUCAUUUUUAUAGAAAUAUUGUAGAUUUGGGGUUUGUGGUUUAGAAAUUAGGAUAACAAGAAUUUUUGUUGAUAGAUGAGUAUUCUUUUAGAUUUUUUUAUCAAUAGUUGUAUUUAUUAAAUAUAAUUCUCAAAAAUUCUAUUUUAGGAAAGUAUUCAUUUUUACAUAGAAAUAUUGUAGAUUUGGGGUUGUGGUUUUGUAAUUAGGAUAACAAGAAUUUUUGUUGAUAGAUGAGUAUUUUUUUUAAUUAUUUGAUCAAUAAGUUGUAUUUUUUAAAAGUAAUUCUCAAAAAUUCUAUUUUAGGAAAGUUUUCAUUUUUACUUAAAAAUAUUGUAGAUUUGGAGUUGUGGUUUAGUAAUUAGGAUAACAAGAAUUUUUGUUGAUAGAUGAGUAUUCUUUUAGAUUUUUUAAUCAAUAGUUGUAUUUUUUAAAUAUAAUUCCCAAAAAUUCUAUUUUAGGAAAGUUUUAAUUUUUUCAUAUAAAUAUUGUAGAUUUGGGGUUGUGGUUUAGAAAUUAGGAUAACCAGAAUUUUUGUUGAUAGAUGAGUAUUUUUUUAGAUUUUUUGAUCAAUAGUUGUAUUUUUUAAAUAUAAUUCCCAAAAAUUCUAUUUUAGGAAAGUUUUCAUUUUUUCAUAGAAAUAUUGUAGAUUUGGGGUUGUGGUUUAGAAAUUAGGAUAACAAGAAUUUUUGUUGAUAGAUGAGUAUUUUUUUAAUUAUUUGAUCAAUUAGUUGUAUUUUUUAAAAAUAAUUCUCAAAAAUUCUAUUUUAGGAAAGUUUGCAUUUUUACUUAAAAAUAUUGUAGAUUUGGAGUUGUGGUUUAGAAAUUAGGAUAACAAGAAUUUUUGUUGAUACAUGAGUAUUCUUUUAGAUUUUUUGAUCAAUAGUUGUAUUUUUUAAAUAUAAUUCUCAAAAAUUCUAUUUUAGGAAAGUUUUCAUUUUUACAUAGAAAUAUUGUAGAUUUGGGGUUGUGGUUUUGUAAUUAGGAUAACAAGAAUUUUUGUUGAUAGAUGAGUAUUCUUUAGAUUUUUUGAUCAAUAGUUGUAUUUUUUAAAUAUUAUUCUCAAAAAUUCUAUUUUAGGAAAGUUUUCAUUUUUUCAUAAAAAUAUUGUAGAUUUUGGGUUGUGGUUUAGAAAUUAGGAUAACAAGAAUUUUUGUUGAUAGAUGAAUAUUUUUUUAAAUUUUUUGAUCAAUAAAUUGUAUUUUUUAAAAAUAAUUCUCAAAAAUUCUAUUUUAGGAAAAUUUUCAUUUUUAUAGAAAUAUUGUAGAUUUGGGGUUUGUGGUUUAGAAAUUAGGAUAACAAGAAUUUUUGUUGAUAGAUGAGUAUUCUUUUAGAUUUUUUGAUCAAUAGUUGUAUUUAUUAAAUAUAAUUCUCAAAAAUUCUAUUUUAGGAAAGUAUUCAUUUUUACAUAGAAAUAUUGUAGAUUUGGGGUUGUGGUUUUGUAAUUAGGAUAACAAGAAUUUUUGUUGAUAGAUGAGUAUUUUUUUUAAUUAUUUGAUCAAUAAGUUGUAUUUUUUAAAAAUAAUUCUCAAAAAUUCAAUUUUAGGAAAGUUUUCAUUUUUACUUAAAAAUAUUGUAGAUUUGGGGUUCUGGUUUUGUAAUUAGGAUAACAAGAAUUUUUGUUGAUAGAUGAGUAUUCUUUUAGAUUUUUUGAUCAAUAGUUGUAUUUUUUAAAUAUAAUUCUCAAAAAUUCUAUUUUAGGAAAGUUUUCAUUUUUACAUAGAAAUAUUGUAGAUUUGGGGUUGUGGUUUUGUAAUUAGGAUAAUAAUAAUUUUUGUUGAUAGAUGAGUAUUCUUUUAGAUUUUUUGAUCAAUAGCUGUAUUUUUUAAAUGUACUUCUCAAAAAUUAUAUUUUAGGAAUGUUCUAAUUUUUUAUAGAAAUAUUGUAGAUUUGGGGUUUGUGGUUUAGAAAUUAGGAUAACAAGAAUUUUUGUUGAUAGAUGAGUAUUUUUUUUAGUUUUUUGAUCAAUAGUUGUAUUUUUUAAAUAUAAUUCUCAAAAAUUCUAUUUUAGGAAAGUUUUCAUUUUUUCAUAAAAAUAUUGUAGAUUUGGGUUGUGGUUUAGAAAUUAGGAUAACAAGAAUUUUUGUUGAUAGAUGAGAUUUUUUUAAAUUUUUAAUCAAUAAAUUGUAUUUUUUAAAAUAAUUCUCAAAAAUUCUAUUUGAGGAAAUUUCAUUUUUAUAGAAAUAUUGUAGAUUUGGGGUUGUUUGGUGGUUAGAAAUUAGGAUAACAAGAAUUUUUGUUGAUAGAUGAGUAUUCUUUUAGAUUUUUUGAUCAAUAGUUGUAUUUUUUAAAUAUAAUUCUCAAAAAUUCUAUUUUAGGAAAGUUUUCAUUUUUACAUAGAAAUAUUGUAGAUUUGGGGUUGUGGUUUGUAAUUAGGAUAACAAGAAUUUUUGUUGAUAGAUGAGUAUUUUUUUANNNNNNNNNNNNNNNNNNNNNNNNNNNNNNNNNNNNNNNNNNNNNNNNNNNNNNNNNNNNNNNNNNNNNNNNNNNNNNNNNNNNNNNNNNNNNNNNNNNNAAAUAUUGUAGAUUUGGGGUUGUGGUUUAGAAAUUAGGAUAACCAGAAUUUUGUUGAUAGAUGAGUAUUUUUUUAGAUUUUUUGAUCAAUAGUUGUAUUUUUAAAUAUAAUUCCCAAAAAUUCUAUUUUAGGAAAGUUUUCAUUUUUUCAUAGAAAUAUUGUAGAUUUGGGGUUGUGGUUUUGAAUUAGGAUAACAAGAAUUUUGUUGAUAGAUGAGUAUUUUUUAGAUUAUUUGAUCAAUAAGUUGUAUUUUUUAAAAUAAUUCUCAAAAAUUCUAUUUUAGGAAAGUUUUCAUUUUACUUAAAAAUAUUGUAGAUUUGGAGUUGUGGUUUAGAAAUUAGGAUAACAAGAAUUUUUGUUGAUAGAUGAGUAUUCUUUUAGAUUUUUUAAUCAAUAGUUGUAUUUUUUAAAUAUAAUCUAAAAAUUCUAUUUUAGGAAAGUUUUUAUUUUUUACAUAGAAAAUUGUAGAUUUGGGGUUGUGGUUUUGUAAUUAGGAUACCAAAAAUUUUGUUGAUAGAUGAGUAUUCUUUUAGAUUUUUGAUCAAUAGUUUGUAUUUUUUAAAUAUUAUUCUCAAAAAUUCUAUUUUAGGAAAGUUUUCAUUUUUUCAUAAAAAUAUUGUAGAUUUUGGGGUUGUGGUUUAGAAAUUAGGAUAACAAGAAUUUUGUUGAUAGAUGAGUAUUUUUUUAAAUUUUUGAUCAAUAAAUUGUAUUUUUAAAAAUAAUUCUCAAAAAUUCUAUUUUAGGAAAUUUUCAUUUUUUUAUAGAAAUAUUGUAGAUUUGGGGUUUGUGGUUUAGAAAUUAGGAUAACAAGAAUUUUUGUUGAUAGAUGAGUAUUCUUUUAGAUUUUUUGAUCAAUAGUUGUAUUUUUAAAUAUAAUUCUCAAAAAUUCUAUUUUAGGAAAGUUUUCAUUUUUCAUAGAAAUAUUGUAGAUUUGGGGUUGUGGUUUAGUAAUUAGGAUAACAAGAAUUUUUGUUGAUAGAUGAGUAUUUUUUAAUUAUUUGAUCAAUAGUUGUAUUUUUUAAAAAAUAAUUCUCAAAAAUUCUAUUUUAGGAAAGUUUUCAUUUUUACUUAAAAAUAUUGUAGAUUGGGGUUGUGGUUUAGAAAUUAGGAUAACAAGAAUUUUUGUUGUGAUACAUGAGUAUUCUUUUAGAUUUUUUAUCAAUAGUUGUAUUUUUAAUAUAAUUCUCAAAAAUUCUAUUUUAGGAAAGUUUUCAUUUUUACAUAGAAAUAUUGUAGAUUUGGGGUUGUGGUUUUGUAAUUAGGAUACCAAGAAUUUUGUUGAUAGAUGAGUAUUCUUUAGAUUUUUUGAUCAAUAGUUGUAUUUUUUAAAUAUAAUUCUCAAAAAUUCUAUUUUAGGAAAGUUUUCAUUUUUUCAUAAAAAUAUUGUAGAUUUUGGGUUGUGGUAGUUAGAAAUUAGGAUAACAAGAAUUUUUGUUGAUAGAUGAUAUUUUUUUAAAUUUUUUGAUCAAUAAAUUGUAUUUUUUAAAAAUAAUUCUCAAAAAUUCUAUUUUAGGAAAAUUUUCAUUUUUAUAGAAAUAUUGUAGAUUUGGGGUUUGUGGUUUAGAAAUUAGGAUAACAAGAAUUUUUGUUGAUAGAUGAGUAUUCUUUUAGAUUUUUUGAUCAAUAGUUGUAUUUUUUAAAUAUAAUUCCCAAAAAUUCUAUUUUAGGAAAGUUUUCAUUUUUUCAUAGAAAUAUUGUAGAUUUGGGGUUGUGGUUUUGUAAUUAGGAUAACAAGAAUAUUUGUUGAUAGAUGAGUAUUUUUUUAAUUAUUUGAUCAAUAAGUUGUAUUUUUUAAAAAUAAUUCUCAAAAAUUCUAUUUUAUGAAAGUUUUCAUUUUUACUUAAAAAUAUUUUAGAUUUGGGGUUGUGGUUUAGAAAUUAGGAUAACAAGAAUUUUUGUUGAUACAUGAGUAUUCUUUUAGAUUUUUUAAUCAAUAGUUGUAUUUUUUAAAUAUAAUUCUCAAAAAUUCUAUUUUAGGAAAGUUUUCAUUUUUACAUAGAAAUAUUGUAGAUUUGGGGUUGUGGUUUUGUAAUUAGGAUAACAAGAAUUUUUGUUGAUAGAUGAGUAUUCUUUAGAUUUUUUGAUCAAUAGUUGUAUUUUUUAAAUAUUAUUCUCAAAAAUUCUAUUUUAGGAAAGUUUUCAUUUUUUCAUAAAAAUAUUGUAGAUUUUGGGUUGUGGUUUAGAAAUUAGGAUAACAAGAAUUUUUGUUGAUAGAUGAAUAUUUUUUUAAAUUUUUUGAUCAAUAAAUUGUAUUUUUUAAAAAUAAUUCUCAAAAAUUCUAUUUUAGGAAAAUUUUCAUUUUUAUAGAAAUAUUGUAGAUUUGGGGUUUGUGGUUUAGAAAUUAGGAUAACAAGAAUUUUUGUUGAUAGAUGAGUAUUCUUUUAGAUUUUUUGAUCAAUAGUUGUAUUUAUUAAAUAUAAUUCUCAAAAAUUCUAUUUUAGGAAAGUAUUCAUUUUUACAUAGAAAUAUUGUAGAUUUGGGGUUGUGGUUUUGUAAUUAGGAUAACAAGAAUUUUUGUUGAUAGAUGAGUAUUUUUUUAAUUAUUUGAUCAAUAAGUUGUAUUUUUAAAAAAUAAUUCUCAAAAAUUCUAUUUUAGGAAAGUUUUCAUUUUUACUUAAAAAUAUUGUAGAUUUGGAGUUGUGGUUUAGUAAUUAGGAUAACAAGAAUUUUUGUUGAUAGAUGAGUAUUCUUUUAGAUUUUUUAAUCAAUAGUUGUAUUUUUUUAAAUAUAAUUCCCAAAAAUUCUAUUUUAGGAAAGUUUUAAUUUUUUCAUAUAAAUAUUGUAGAUUUGGGGUUGUGGUUUAGAAAUUAGGAUAACCAGAAUUUUUGUUGAUAGAUGAGUAUUUUUUUAGAUUUUUUUGAUCAAUAGUUGUAUUUUUUAAAUAUAAUUCCCAAAAAUUCUAUUUUAGGAAAGUUUUCAUUUUUUCAUAGAAAUAUUGUAGAUUUGGGGUUGUGGUUUAGAAAUUAGGAUAACAAGAAUUUUUGUUGAUAGAUGAGUAUUUUUUUAAUUAUUUGAUCAAUAAGUUGUAUUUUUUAAAAAUAAUUCUCAAAAAUUCUAUUUUAGGAAAGUUUUCAUUUUUACUUAAAAAUAUUGUAGAUUUGGAGUUGUGGUUUAGAAAUUAGGAUAACAAGAAUUUUUGUUGAUACAUGAGUAUUCUUUUAGAUUUUUUGAUCAAUAGUUGUAUUUUUUAAAUAUAAUUCUCAAAAAUUCUAUUUUAGGAAAGUUUUCAUUUUUUCAUAGAAAUAUUUUAGAUUUGGGGUUGUGGUUUAAUAAUUAGGAUAACAAGAAUUUUUGUUGAUAGAUGAGUAUUUUUUUAAUUAUUUGAUCAAUAAGUUGUAUAUUUUAAAAAUAAUUCUCAAUAAUUCUAUUUUAGGAAAGUUUUCAUUUUUUCAUAGAAAUAUUGUAGAUUUGAGGUUUUGGUUUAAAAAUUAGGAUAACAAAAAAUUUUGUUGAUAGAUGAGUAUUUUUUUAGAUUUUUUUAUCAAUAGGUUGUAUAUUUUAGAUAAAUUCUGGAAAUUUCUAAUUUAGGAAAGUUUUCAUUUUUUUAUAGAAAUAUUGUAGAUUUGGGGUUGUGAUUUAGAAAUUAGCAUAACACGAAUUUUUGUUGAUAGAUGAGUAUUCUUUUAGAUUUUUUGAUCAAUAGUUGUAUUUUUAAAAUAUAAUUCUCAAAAAUUCUAUUUUAGGAAAGUUUUCAUUUUUUCAUAGAAAUAUUGUAGAUUUGGGGUUGUGGUUUAGAAAUUAGGAUGACAAGAAUUUUUGUUGAUAGAUGAGUAUUCUUUUAGAUUUUUUGAUCAAUAGUUGUAUUUUUUAAAUAUAAUUCUCAAAAAUUCUAUUUUAGGAAAGUUUUCAUUUUUUCAUAAAAAUAUUGUAGAUUUUGGGUUGUGGUUUAGAAAUUAGGAUAACAAGAAUUUUUGUUGAUAGAUGAAUAUUUUUUUAAAUUUUUUGAUCAAUAAAUUGGUUUUUUUUGAAAUAAUUCUCAAAAAUUCUAUUUUAGGAAAAUUUACAUUUUUUAUAUAAAUAUUGUAGAUUUGGGGUUUGUGGUUUAGAAAUUAGGAUAACAAGAAUUUUUGUUCAUAGAUGAGUAUUCUUUUAGAUUUUUUGAUCAAUAGUUGUAUUUUUUAAAUAUAAUUCUCAAAAAUUCUAUUUUACGAAAGUUUUCAUUUUUUCAUAGAAAUAUUGUAGAUUUGGGGUUGUGGUUUAGACAUUAGGAUAACAAGAAUUUUUGUUGAUAGAUGAGUAUUUUUUUAAAUUUUUUGAUCAAUAGUUGUAUUUUUUAAAUAUAAUUCCCAAAAAUUCUAUUUUACCAAAGUUUUCAUUUUUUCAUAGAAAUAUUGUAGAUUUGGGAUUGUGAUUUAGAAAUUAGGAUAACAAGAAUUUUUGUUGAUAGAUGAGUAUUUUUUUAUAUUUUUUUAUCAAUAAGUUGUAUUUUUUAAAUAUAAUUCUCAAAAAUUCAGAGCGACGUCAUAGGCGAUUUUCUCAAAACCACCACCAGACUCGUUUCUUCACCGGGAUUUUUCGUUGCCGGCGGCUUUGGCCGUCGGAGUCUCUUUGUUUUCUUUAUAUUUAGUAGUAAUAGUUAAUAAAACCAAUUGAUGUUGGAUUGGACAUCAAAUCAUUCGAUUUGGGAACAUCCAAAUCGCGUUAUUUUUCUGUCUCGCCAUUUAAGAUCACCAUGUUCUCUUCUUCAGACAGUCAUUAGGAUUCGGGCGAGAAGAUUAUAUGAUUUUCGAACGGUUGGCGUGCGUCUUUUCUCCCAACGGGAGCGUUAUUCUCCGGUACUGGGUUUCGUAGAUUUACGGAGUUGCUGGACCGAUGGCUUUCCCUUGCACAUAUUGCAAGUUUGUUUAAUCUCUCAAUCUCGAUUUGUUCACACAAUGAAUCGACAUAAAAAGCUGCCCUGGCCUGGGGAUCACAGAGGAUUGGCGCACAAACUAAAAUUGGAAUUGAAGAUAUGGAUUCAAGGUAUUGUUCUUUUGGAUAUGGCUGGAAUAAGAUACGACAGUGAUGAUUUUGUGAGGACGAUAGUGCUAGUUUGUGGUGGGUCCAUCUGGCAACAAGGAUCAAUACAAAAUCAUGGUAAAUAUUUAUACUUCAGUCUCUCCUCACUUGGAGACAGCGUUUCACCAAAAAAUGAAAAAUGGGAGGAGUCUGGUAAUGGCCAAUAUGAAGGAAAUAGUGUUCUGAAACGGCGUCCAAUGGUUAUAUUACAACAUCAACACAAUGUGGAGUACUUUAGUUAUUGUGUUUGUUGGUUUCAAAUCAGGAGAAAACGUAGAUCAUGGAGAGUUAAGACAAUAACAACACAUGUUAUCUCCUGCAGCGGGAGUGUAUGGGACGGAUUGAGAUGUAACAGAUGGAUCCAAUCCAAUGAUCUUCGAAAAGAAAAGAGGCUUUUGGUCACAAUGUAUGACAGCCAACAAGAUCAUUUAAGACCGAGAACGAAGAUGGAUAAAGUUAGCGUAUCAGCCUAUUCUACGGAUGAGUUAGAUAGCAACGUGUUAUUACUAUUCCAAUUUCAAAAUCUUCUUAAAAAUGUGUUGUUUAUCUCUUAUGUUUCAUGUAAACAUUUGAACCCAUUUUGAUAUCAAUAAAAUAGUUUGUCGUUAAAAAAAAAAAAAUUCUCAAAAAUUCUAUUUAAGGAAAGUUUUCAUUUAUUCAUAGAAAUAUUGUAGAUCUGGGGUUGUGGUUUAGAUAUUAGGAUAACAAGAAUUUUUGUUAAUAAAUAAGUAUUCUUUUAGAUUUUUUGAUCAAUUGUUGUAUUUUUUAAAUAUAAUUCUCAAAAAUUCUAUUUUAGGAAAGUAUUCAUUUUUACAUAGAAAUAUUGUAGAUUUGGGGUUGUGGUUUUGUAAUUAGGAUAACAAGAAUUUUUGUUGAUAGAUGAGUAUUUUUUUAAAUUAUUUUAUCAAUAAGUUGUAUUUUUUAAAAAUAAUUCUCAAAAAUUCUAUUUUAGGAAAGUUUUCAUUUUUACUUAAAAAUAUUGUAGAUUUGGAGUUGUGGUUUAGUAAUUAGGAUAACAAGAAUUUUUGUUGAUAGAUGAGUAUUCUUUUAGAUUUUUUAAUCAAUAGUUGUAUUUUUUAAAUAUAAUUCCCAAAAAUUCUAUUUUCGAAAAGUUUUCAUUUUUUCAUAGAAAUAUUGUAGAUUUGGGGUUGUGGUUUAGAAAUUAGGAUAAAAAGAAUUUUUGUUGAUAGAUGAGUAUUUUUUAAAUGAUUUGAUCAAUAAGUUGUAUUUUUUAAAAAUAAUUCUCAAAAAUUCUAUUUUAGGAAAGUUUUCAUUUUUACUUAAAAAUAUUGUAGAUUUGGAGUUGUGGUUUAGAAAUUAGGAUAACAAGAAUUUUUGUUGAUAGAUGAGUAUUCUUUAGAUUUUUUGAUCAAUAGUUGUAUUUUUACAAUAUAAUUCUCAAAAAUUCUAUUUUAGGAAAGUUUUCAUUUUUUAUAGAAAUAUUGUAGAUUUGGGGUUGUGGUUUAGAAAUUAGGAUAACCAGAAUUUUUGUUGAUAGAUGAGUAUUUUUUUAGAUUUUUUGAUCAAUAGUUGUAUUUUUUAAAUAUAAUUCCCAAAAAUUCUAUUUUAGGAAAGUUUUCAUUUUUUCAUAGAAAUAUUGUAGAUUUGGGGUUGUGGUUUAG